CGUGCGAUCCCUGAAGUUAAGCAACGAUGAGCCUAGUCAGUACCUAGAUGGGUGACCGCUUGGGAAUAUCAGGUGCU